ACAUGCAGCUAUAGCACCCUGAACUUGCAUGAUUUUGUCUGCUCUCAGAAGCUAAGCAGGAUCUGGCCUUGUAAGUACUUGGUUGAGAGAAUAAUAAAGAAUGUAGUUU
rnacentral:rRNA from 1 species